CGGCACUAUAAAAGUGAACCAGCACUUGUGGGACGCACGCAUUUGUUUAGGAACGCGGGCACCAUGAAAGUCUUGCUGAUCAUCGUCGUGUUUUGCGUGGCCAUGUCUGUGGCUCAAGCAAUCCUUCACAAGGCUCUUGCUUUUGGUGCCGGACUGGUAGCUGGCAAAGCCCUUUCUGGCGGUGGUAGGGGUGGAGGUUACUACCCUUACCCAUACGCUGGUGGACACUGGUGGCGGAUAUGGUGGAGGCUUCGGCGGUGGCUACGGCGGUGGUUUCGGAUUCUCCGGCUAGAAUCCCGUUGAUCAUAAUGUUGUCACGACGCAUGCAAGGAGCAGUCUCACACUCUGCACAAAUACAAGAAUUUUUGUAACUCAUCAAUAGUACCUUUAAAAAAACCAGCAUUACUCAUCAGUCAAUAAAAAGUGUUCACUAUUGCAUG